UACUUCCGUUUCCGUGCGAGUUUCUUGGAUUCAAUCUCCAAAACCGAAGACCCUGCCUCACAUCUAACGCUAGAUGAGUACCCCUCGAGCACGAGUGCACCGUACCAGUAAGGAAAAACCGUUGACGAGGAGCACACGUUUCCGUUUUCUCUCAAGAGAGAAACAUGUCGGCAUUCGUGAACUCAGCAUACGAGAACAAUGAGCUCGAUAUAUUGGAGGCUGGGCAUCGAGCAGACGACCCGUUGAAAAACAAGGAAAUAGAAUCUAAUAAGAAAUCACGCAGUUUGACAGUAGGAUACGAAGCGCUGGAUCAUUUCGUUUCGAAACAUCAGAGAGCUUUCAAAGUAUUCCUUCUGACCUUGAUUAACGUUCUAAUAUUAAUCUACUUCAUCUUCGCCACGCUUUACUGGAGAAACAACAAUUCCGAGGAUGGGUACAAUUGGUGCCACGGCUAUGGUAUGCUGAUCAUCCUUUUCGCGUUCACAUACGGUGGAAUACUUUAUCAUUUCGUUGUAAAACGAUUUCUCGGGCAAACCUUCGUCUCGUGCAGUCGACCAUUACGUUAUCGCAUCAGAAGUUUCCGAAAUAGAAAAUAUGGCGACGCCGUUAUUCAGACAACCAUUUACACGUGUAUAUUCGGGGCAAUUAUUGUCUUCCUUAUUUUUGACACUGUCGGUUCGAGAGAGAGACUUUUGAGCUUGAUCGGUAUCGUUAUUUUGCUAAGCUGCGGACGGAUAUUUUCGAAACACCCUGAUCGAAUCAAAUGGAGGCCAGUUUUGAGCGGAUUAACCCUACAGUUCGUGUUCGGUUUGAUAACGAUUCGAUGGAAAGUUGGUCGCACCAUUUUCCAGUGCAUCUCCGACAAAGUAGCAACGUUUUUGGACUUUGCUAGCAGCGGUAUAAGUUUCGUUUUCUCCCAAUGGGCGCUGGACGAAAACGUCUUCGCGUUUGCGUCGCUGUCCGUAAUCUAUUAUUUCAGCUUCAUCAUUCAGAUACUUUACUAUCUGGGUGUCAUGCAAUGGAUAAUCUUAAGAUUGGGCCAGUUUCUUCAAGGUAUCACGGGGGCCUCGAUCUGCGAAUCGGUGGUCUGCGCUUCCAACACCUUCAUUGGAAUGUCGGAAUCUCCAUUAAUAAUUAAACCUUAUCUGAGUAAAUUAACCACUUCCGAAAUUCACACUGUUAUGUGCGCUGGUUUCGGAACAGUCUCAGGGACCGUAUUAGCUGCGUAUGUUAAAUUUGGUGCGAAUCCGGCUCACUUGAUCACGGCAACGUUGAUGGCUGUACCUGCGGCUCUCUGUUUUUCCAAGCUAUUUUAUCCAGAGACCGAAGAGAUUAUGGUCACCGGUGAUAACGUUCAUUUGGAAAAAUCGCAAGAUUCGAGCUUAAUGGAUGCCGCCACCAAAGGUGCCAUGGCAGCGAUACCUUUAGUUAUGGGUAUAAUCGCCAAUAUAAUAGCGUUCGUGUCGUUUAUCGCGCUACUAAAUUCCUUACUCGCUUGGCUGUGCUCUUUAAUAGGUUACGAGAACAUAACUUUCGAAUGGAUUUUGUCGAGGAUAUUCAUGCCUCUGAGUUGGAUAAUAGGUGUACCGUGGGAUAAGUGCGAGUACGUGGGGACUCUGAUCGGUCUGAAAACCGUGGUUAACGAAUUUGUCGCUUAUCAGAAGUUGGGAGAAUUUAAGAGAGAAAAUAAAAUUUUUGGUAGAACGGAGGCUAUCGCAACGUUUGCGAUUUGCGGAUUCGCGAAUCCCGGUUCCGUAGGAAUCAUGCUCAGUAUACUGACUUCAUUGGCUCCUGAUACGAGGGAGAAAAUAACUAACACUAUCAUGAGAGCUUUUCUGGCUGGAUGCGCUGUGUGUUUCCUCACAGCCAGCACCGCUGGGCUACUCAUGGACGACGAAUUUGUUCUUGGCGCAAUGAAUUCAACAGCGACAAACACAACUGCCAGUUGACUACAUGAUCACUUAGAAAUUUAAAGAAGCCGUGACAUAUCAUCAGUAUUUAUAAAUAAAUCGGAGGACACAAAGCCAAACACACUGCCCAUCAACUGAAAGAAUCUGUAACAAACAGAUGGUAGAAAACAACAGUUUCCAUGAUUCACAAAACUAACUUAUAAAACGGUAAUCAAACAGAAACACAUUCAAUGACAGUACACCAAAGAUAUACGUGAAUGAAAAACAUCUAGUUUAUGAUAUAAAAGAGUCAGAUAGCAAGAAACUAUUACACUGUUUGGUUUCUUAUUAUUUGAAGGUUAUGUGUACAAUGAAAACAGAUAUUUCG